rnacentral:rRNA from 1 species
CUACGGGCGGCAGCAGUGAGGAAUAUUGCACAAUGGGGGGAACCCUGAUGCAGCAACGCCGCGUGGAGGAUGACGCAUUUCGGUGUGUAAACUCCUUUUAUAUGUCAAGAAAAUGACGGUAGCAUAUGAAUAAGCACCGGCUAACUCCGUGCCAGCAGCCGCGGUAAUACGGAGGGUGCAAGCGUUACUCGGAAUCACUGGGCGUAAAGGACGCGUAGGCGGGUUGGCAAGUCAGGUAUGAAAUCCUACAGCUUAACUGUAGAACUGCACUUGAAACUUCUAAUCUAGAGUAUGGGAGGGGAGAUGGAAUUAGUAGUGUAGGGGUAAAAUCCGUAGAUAUCCCUAGGAAUACCUAAAGCGAAGGCGAUCUCCUGGAACAUUACUGACGCUAAGGCGUGAAAGCGUGGGGAGCAAACAGGAUUAGAUACCCCCGUAGUC